CUAAUUUUUUUAAAAAAAGAAAGAAGCUGAAAGAAAAAAAGAAAGUGGAAGUUCUCAUAAUUGGAAUAUAUUGUUCCUUGGAAUGAAUGCUGUAGCUGAUGCCAUUGC